rnacentral:rRNA from 1 species
AUGCACGCUGGCGGCGUGCCUAAUACAUGCAAGUCGAGCGAACAGAUAAGGAGCUUGCUCCUUUGACGUUAGCGGCGGACGGGUGAGUAACACGUGGGUAACCUACCUAUAAGACUGGGAUAACUUCGGGAAACCGGAGCUAAUACCGGAUAAUAUUUCGAACCGCAUGGUUCGAUAGUGAAAGAUGGUUUUGCUAUCACUUAUAGAUGGACCCGCGCCGUAUUAGCUAGUUGGUAAGGUAACGGCUUACCAAGGCGACGAUACGUAGCCGACCUGAGAGGGUGAUCGGCCACACUGGAACUGAGACACGGUCCAGACUCCUACGGGAGGCAGCAGUAGGGAAUCUUCCGCAAUGGGCGAAAGCCUGACGGAGCAACGCCGCGUGAGUGAUGAAGGUCUUCGGAUCGUAAAACUCUGUUAUUAGGGAAGAACAUACGUGUAAGUAACUGUGCACGUCUUGACGGUACCUAAUCAGAAAGCCACGGCUAACUACGUG